UCUUUAAACAUACGUGGACCCCUGACAGCAGUAUUUGAUUGUCUACAGCUUACCAACCACGAAGGAUAAUAGGUCUUAUUGUAUAGCUUCUGUCUCUUAGAUUUUAAUCACUUUAAGAGCAAGGGACUGAUUUUUCUACUUCCUUUGGCCUCCCAGCAGAUGGUAUUUGGAAAUGGAUUCUGACAGCUUGGAAAAGGUAAUCUACCUCUGAAAGGUACAGUAGACCAGCUCACUAAGCAGGGUCUGGCCUUACGUUUCAUAAUCCUGUGAUGAGAGACUCAGUCUUAACUUGGCGUACCUUGAACUAAGCCUACCUUUGACACUCGUCUUAGUAACAGCACUUAUCAAUCAAAUUAUUGUGUAGUUUAGUCACUGAUUUGGCAUGUUAAAUGAACAAUCAUGAACUGCCUUACCUGGAGUCCAUUUCAGGGGCUAAAUCUUAACUCACUAAUAACCUUAGGAUCAAACUCUUACUGCACAGAGAUGCAUGUCUGCAGACAAUACAUGAUUCCAUUAUUCUUUGGUCUGGUGUGAUAUUUACGAUUGAUCUUAACCCUUUGGCGAGAAUGUUUUACACCUUCCCAUUUGUUUUCAACCUGUUUUAGAUAUGUAAGUUGUAGAACUUCCCAGCUACAGUCUAACUUCUUUGGUUAAUUAUGUUUCCUUUAAAACAAAUCCGGGUACAAUUUUUGAGGGUUCACUUACCAAACUCUGUUAUCAAAACCCUUUAGAACAGUCCUCUAGUGUGACUAACAAAGUUCUAUGUUAAAAAUAUCAACUUUUGGCCAGUCGUGGUGGCUCACACCUGUACUCCCAGCGCUUUGGGAGGCUGAGCGGGUGGAUCACCUGAGCUCAGGAGUUCGAGACCAGCCUGGCCUACAUGGUGAAACCCCAUCUCUACUAAAAAAUUAAAAAAAAAAAAAUUAGCCAGGCAUGGAGCACAUGCCUGUAAUCCCAGCUACUCAGGAGGCUGAGGCAUGAGAAUCGCUUGAACCCGGGAGGCAAAGGUUGCAGUGAGCCAAGAUGUCACCACUGCACUCUAGCCCGGGUGACAGAGUGAGACUCCAUCUCAAAAAAAAAGAAAAAAAUUAAUUAAAAUCAACUUUUUGGCUGGGCGUGGUGACUCAUGCCUGUAAUCCCUGCACUUUGGGAAGCUGAGGCAGGAGAUUGCUUGAGCCUAGGAGUUCAAGACCAGCCUGGGCAAUGUAGUAUGCCCAAAGUAUUUAUUUUGCCUACUCAAUAUAUUUAAUUUCAUUUUCCAAUAUUUUGUUUCUUUUUAUUUCUGAGUAGCAUUCUAUCAUACGGAUAUACUACUGUUCAUUUAUUCAUCACCCACUGAAGGACAUUUGAUUUGUCAUUAAAUAUAAUACUAAGUUUUCUCUCUAUAAUUCUCCAGAAAUGCCUAUUUCUGAAAGGGAUCUAUUAUGAGACAAAAUAAGAAUUUUAGGCAAGUGUUAGUAAAUACCAUGUCUGUCUCUCCAAAAAAAAAAAAAAAAAAAAAUAGCCAGACAUGGUGGUACAUGGGAGCUACUUGGGAGGCUGAGGUGGAAGGACUGUUUAAGCCCAGGAGUUCAAGGUUACAGUGAGCUAUGAUCACACCAGUGCACUUCAGCCUGGGUGACAAAGCAAGACCCUGUCUCAAAAAAAAAAAAAAAAAAAAGAUCAACUUUUUAAAAGCAAUAAUAAUUUUGCAAGAAAUGACUUGCUUUAAGGAUUAUUAAAAUGUGUUUUUCUCAACUCUUAAAAGUCAAGGUAAUUUUGACAGUUGGUUUGUACCUAAAACAUAGAAAAAUAGACUUGUACUUUCUGGAGCAUCCUUAGCAUUCUCAGACCUUUUAAGCACUUCCCCAAAAAUAUGCUUAAGAACUGGCUCAUAAUAUUUCCUUCAGUACCCAUGAAAAUAUUUUGAUGGAAACUUUACUACAUGGCAUUUACUACACUUGCCUAAAAAUUUUAUUUUGUCUCACAAUAUUUCCCUUUCAGAAAUAGGCAUUUCUGGAACGUUUCUCAAAACUGUACCUAGUUCAAUAUAGAGAGGAAACUCAGUAUUAUAUUUAAUGAUAAAUCAAAUGUCCUUCAGUAGGUGAUGAAUAAAUGAACAGUGGUAUAUCCAUACGAUAGAACGCUACUCAGCAAUAAAAAGAAAUGAAAUAUUUGAACAUACAAAUAAAAUAUAUUCAGUAGACAAAAUAAAUACUUUGGGUUUAAUUUGAAAUGAAGCAGAAAAACUCCACUCACCUUAUUAAAACUGAACAAUUAUACACAUGGUAGUAUUUAUAAAUGGGGUUCUAUCUCAGGUUCAAUUACAGUAGGUAACUUUGUAAGUUUGGCUUACAGAUUCCAAAUAAAAAGUUUUUACAUUUUAUUAUUCAUAUAUUUAUGUUCUUGUAAUAUCUAUGUAGCAUUAAAAUUGGCUGGAAGUCAGGAAUUCUGUCAAAAUCCAUCAAUUUUUAAAAACUUGAUGCUGAACAGUUAGGAUGAUAGAGAAAAGUCUAUCACUCGAGCCUGAAGGACAUUAUGUUUAGUGAAAUAAGUCAGGCAUACAAAGAGAAAUACCAUAUGUUCUUACUCAUAUGUAGAAACUUUAAAAAGUGGAGCUCAUAGAAGUAGACAGUAGGAUUGUGGUUACUGGAGGCUGGGAAGGAUAGGAGGGAGGACCGGAUAGGGAGAGGUUGGUAAAUGGAUACAAAUUACGGCUAGAUGAGAGAAAUAAAUUCUAGUGUUCUAUAGCACUGCAUGAUAAAUAUGGUUAACCAUUAUUUAUUGUAUAUUUUCAAAAAGCUAGAAUAGAGGAUUUUGAAUAUUC
rnacentral:lncRNA from 10 species